UAGUAGUGAUAUUAGAGUGAAAUAUCAGAAGUCAGCAGAAGUCAUAGUAGCAAAUUGGAUAUAUACAAUUUGUGAAGGAC
rnacentral:ncRNA from 1 species